rnacentral:rRNA from 1 species
UCGCUCCUACCGAUUGAGUGCUCAGGUGAAUAAUUCGGCCCCCAGCAAUGUUCAGUUCCUGGGUGUUGCAGGGGAAAGUCUAGUAAACCUUAUCACUUAGAGGAAGGAG